GGCGCGCCCCGGGCGGGGCGGGGGCACGGGGGGAACGCGAAGAACCUUACCAAGGCUUGACAUAUACCGGAAAGCAUCAGAGAUGGUGCCCCCCUUGUGGUCGGUAUACAGGUGGUGCAUGGCUGUCGUCAGCUCGUGUCGUGAGAUGUUGGGUUAAGUCCCGCAACGAGCGCAACCCUUGUUCUGUGUUGCCAGCAUGCCUUUCGGGGUGAUGGGGACUCACAGGAGACUGCCGGGGUCAACUCGGAGGAAGGUGGGGACGACGUCAAGUCAUCAUGCCCCUUAUGUCUUGGGCUGCACACGUGCUACAAUGGUUCGGUACAAUGAGCUGCGAUGCCGCGAGGCGGAGCGAAUCUCAAAAAUCCAUCUCAGUUCGGAUUGGGGUCUGCAACUCGACCCCAUGAAGUCGGAGUUGCUAGUAAUCGCA
rnacentral:rRNA from 1 species